AGAGUUUGAUCCUGGCUCAGAUUGAACGCUGGCGGCAUGCUUUACACAUGCAAGUCGGACGGCAGCACAGAGAAGCUUGCUUCUCGGGUGGCGAGUGGCGAACGGGUGAGUAACAUAUCGGAACGUACCGAGUAGUGGGGGAUAACUGAUCGAAAGAUCAGCUAAUACCGCAUACGUCUUGAGAGAGAAAGCAGGGGACCUUUGGGCCUUGCGCUAUUCGAGCGGCCGAUAUCUGAUUAGCUAGUUGGUGGGGUAAAGGCCUACCAAGGCGACGAUCAGUAGCGGGUCUGAGAGGAUGAUCCGCCACACUGGGACUGAGACACGGCCCAGACUCCUACGGGAGGCAGCAGUGGGGAAUUUUGGACAAUGGGCGCAAGCCUGAUCCAGCCAUGCCGCGUGUCUGAAGAAGGCCUUCGGGUUGUAAAGGACUUUUGUCAGGGAAGAAAAGGCUGUUGCUAAUACCAGCGGCUGAUGACGGUACCUGAAGAAUAAGCACCGGCUAACUACGUGCCAGCAGCCGCGGUAAUACGUAGGGUGCGAGCGUUAAUCGGAAUUACUGGGCGUAAAGCGGGCGCAGACGGUUACUUAAGCAGGAUGUGAAAUCCCCGGGCUCAACCCGGGAACUGCGUUCUGAACUGGGUGACUCGAGUGUGUCAGAGGGAGGUAGAAUUCCACGUGUAGCAGUGAAAUGCGUAGAGAUUGGAGGAAUACCGAUGGCGAAGGCAGCCUCCUGGGACAACACUGACGUUCAUGCCCGAAAGCGUGGGUAGCAAACAGGAUUAGAUACCCUGGUAGUCCACGCCCUAAACGAUGUCAAUUAGCUGUUGGGCAACUUGAUUGCUUAGUAGCGUAGCUAACGCGUGAAAUUGACCGCCUGGGGAGUACGGUCGCAAGAUUAAAACUCAAAGGAAUUGACGGGGACCCGCACAAGCGGUGGAUGAUGUGGAUUAAUUCGAUGCAACGCGAAGAACCUUACCUGGUCUUGACAUGUACGGAAUCCUCCAGAGACGGAGGAGUGCCUUCGGGAGCCGUAACACAGGUGCUGCAUGGCUGUCGUCAGCUCGUGUCGUGAGAUGUUGGGUUAAGUCCCGCAACGAGCGCAACCCUUGUCAUUAGUUGCCAUCAUUCAGUUGGGCACUCUAAUGAGACUGCCGGUGACAAGCCGGAGGAAGGUGGGGAUGACGUCAAGUCCUCAUGGCCCUUAUGACCAGGGCUUCACACGUCAUACAAUGGUCGGUACAGAGGGUAGCCAAGCCGCGAGGCGGAGCCAAUCUCACAAAACCGAUCGUAGUCCGGAUUGCACUCUGCAACUCGAGUGCAUGAAGUCGGAAUCGCUAGUAAUCGCAGGUCAGCAUACUGCGGUGAAUACGUUCCCGGGUCUUGUACACACCGCCCGUCACACCAUGGGAGUGGGGGAUACCAGAAGUAGGUAGGGUAACCGCAAGGGGUCCGCUUACCACGGUAUGCUUCAUGACUGGGGUGAAGUCGUAACAAGGUAGCCGUAGGGGAACCUGCGGCUGGAUCACCU
rnacentral:rRNA from 1 species